AUGACGCUGUCUAAUCUAGCAAAACCAGAUCGGCUUACGCCCAGAGAGAGGGAGUUGGAUGAACUAGACAUCCCAGCAAUGCUGUCACCACCAUCAACAGAAAUUUUUGCAAGGAUUUCACCUGGAGCCAGACACGACCGCAUCACCUCAAAACCCAAAGACCCAGCACACGUCUGGCCACCGCACGCAAGCCUCGAGAGGAGAGAGGAGCCCCCACUGCACCACGAGAAGAGGACGUCUUGGCCUUGGCCUCGGUUGGGAAGGCAAGGACGCGGCGAUGGCGGCAUUUCUACCACUCCAGCGGUGGCUCAUUCGGCAUGCGUCAGGUGA
rnacentral:rRNA from 1 species